AUGCUCACUUUGGCAGCACUUAUACUGAAAUGAUAUAGAGAAGAUUAGCAUGGUUCCUGGCCAAUGAAGACAUGCAAAGUCAUGAAGCAUUCCAAUAAGAA
rnacentral:snRNA from 1 species